UGAGAGAGCCGACUCCGCUACCUCGGGGACGACUCGGGAAGUCUGCUUUUUACUUGAGGAGACGACUCCUCGUCCUGUGGAGACGGCUCGCGCGCAUCUCUUGAAAUCAGCCUUUCUGCCGCCACUGAGAGAGUCGACUCCGCUACUGAGAGAGUCGACUCCGACCCUGCGAGACGCCUCGCCAGGUGCCGGGGACGUCUCCCGACGUGCCAGUUCUUCCUGUUUGUGCCAGAGACGUCUCUGCGACAAAC
rnacentral:lncRNA from 1 species